UACAGAGGUGGCAAGCGUUGUUCGGAAUUACUGGGCGUAAAGGGCGCGUAGGCGGCCGCCUAAGUCAGACGUGAAAUCCCCAGGCUUAACUUGGGAACUGCGUCUGAUACUGGGUGGCUUGAGUUCGGGAGAGGAAUGUGGAAUUCCAGGUGUAGCGGUGAAAUGCGUAGAUAUCUGGAGGAACACCUGAGGUGAAGACGGGUUGCUGGGCUGACACUGACGCUGAGGCGCGAAAGCCAGGGGAGCAAACGGG
rnacentral:rRNA from 1 species